GUGCCUUUGAUGUAGUUCAUUUUUCGCUUAUCGCUGGCAUAGUUCGUCGUUUUCUCUUUUCAUCUUCCCUUUUCUUCUGUGUUCGAGUGAGGGUCUUCUCUCUGCUCUUGACGGGGUCAUGAGAGUGUAAAGGGGCCGCUGAGAAGGCUUUCCUCCUUGUCCGAUCUUGAUCGACCGAGCCUUUAUUUGUGUCAGGACGAGGUUCCCCUCUUAUUUCCGACGGUCCGUUUCAGCUCAUGUUAGGAUGAGGUUCUCCUUCUGUUCCUAACAGGAUGGUGGGGGCAUGCAAGGGCCGCUGCCAGGACCUCUCCCCCCAUCCGAUCUUUAAGUAACCGGACCUUCGACUUUACUCAUGUUAGGAUGAGAUUCUCCUUCUGUUCCUAACAAGACUGUGGGGGCACAUAAGGGCCGUUGCAAGGGCUUCUCUCUCCAUCCGGUCUUUAAGAGACCGGGCCUUCGACUUUGCUCAUGUUAGGACGAGGUUCUCCUCCUGUUCUUAACAAGGCUGUGGGAGCACAUAAGGGCCGUUGCAAGGGCCUCUCCCCCCAUCCGAUCUUUAAGAAAUCAGGCCUUCGACUUUGCUCAUGUUAGGACGAGGUCCUCCUCCUGUUUCUAACAAGGCUGUGGGGCCACAUAAGGACCGUUGCAAGGGCCUCUCCCCUCGCUAGUCUUUAAGAAAUCGGACCUUCGACUUUGCUCAUGUUAAGAUGAGGUUCUCCUCCUGCUCCUAACAAAGCUGUGGGGGCACAUAAGGGCCAUUGCAAGGGCCUCUCCCCCCGUCCGGUCUUUAAGAAAUCGAACUUUCAUCUUUGCUCAUGUUAGGACGAGGUUCUCCUCCUGUUCCUAACAUGCUUAAUUUCGUUUGUAUGGAAAAGUUACUUCCUGUCGUUAUAAGCUUAUGCCAAAAGAAAAAAUACGCGAAUAUGGAAGAAAUUUUUAUUUAGGGCAAAAUUGUUAGUAAUACAUUCGUAGAUUUUUCGAAUCCUAUAGCCGCGGAAGGUCUACUCCCCGUCGGGAUCCUCCUGAGAUGGAGUUGAUGAUCCCAAUCGGGGGCCGAUCUUCAGGUUGCUCUUUCCUCC
rnacentral:lncRNA from 1 species